CUCUACCAAAAAAACCAAAAAUACAAAAAUAAGCUGGGCAUGGUGGUGUACACCUGUAGUUCCAGCUACUUAGGAGGCUGAGGCCUCAAGCCCAGGAGGGGAGGUUGCAGUGAGCCAUGAUCACCCCACUGCACUCCAGCCUGGGUGAUGGGAGUGAAACCCUGUCUCAAAAAAAUGGGAAGGAAGGAAAGAAGGAAGGAAGGGAGGGAAGGAGGGAGGGAGGGAAGGAAGGGAAGGGAAGGAAGGAAGGGAAGGAGGGAGCAAAGAAAGGAAAUACUUGAUUUUAAAUUCUUUUUCUGUUAAAUCAAAUUAAUCUAAAGGUAAUAGGGGAUUUACUAUUUAAGGGAACCGUAAAGUGCUUAUUCUGUGCAAUAACAAAACCCAGCAUGGGCGUGCCUGUUUUCAUCUGUGUGCCCUCAGAUCCAGUCUUGCCCUUCUGCUACUCUGAUGUGAGUGGAAGCGUGGGUUUCCAGGCCGCUGGGUUUGCUGAUUGGGUUUGGCCAGUGGAGGUGCCGUCAGGAGAUGGGAGUGGACCCAGAAGGAAGAAACCAGGAAUGAAACCACAAUGAUUCAAGACUGGGCUGGGCACAGUGGCUCACGCCUAUAAUCCCAGCCUUUGGGAGGCUGAGGGCAGCGGAUCAUUUGAGGUCAGGAGUUUGAGACCAGCCUGCCCGAAAUAGCGAAGCCCCAUCUCUACUGAAAAUACAACAAAUUAGCCGGACGUGGUGGCACACGCCUGUAAUUCCAGCUACUUGGGAAGGUGAGGCGGAGAAUCACUUGAACCCAGGAGGUGGAGGUUGCAGUGAGCUGAGAUCGCACCACUGCACUGGGUGAGAGAGGGAGACUCUGUCUCAAAACAAAACAAAAAAAUAAAAAUAAAAUAAAGACUGCAUUUUAUUUGGAGAUUUUCAAUGCAUUUUUUAUCUUUGAUCAUUUCAUUGAGGCAGUCCCACUCAAGGGAUUGGAGUCAUGAAUAGAACCCACCUGUAUUUGUCCGUGUUUUAGCAGUUGCUUCUAUGUAGAGCAUCUGACUACUUUAUUAUAUAUUUUGUAAGUAUAUCUGUACCUAAGCUUUAUAUAUUGAAAUAGGUAUUAUUUUGUUAUAAGUUGCUUUCUUAUUAUUUCUUUUUUGUAUUACCAUUAGAGAAGUAUAUCAGUUUUUUAAAAUAUAUGGUUAGGGGAGUGACAACCACAAGUAGUGAUUCUCAUUUCAAGAAAUUAAAUGGCAUUUGUAAAAAAAAAAAAAAAAGCAGGUGGGGCUCUGGGGCUGGCAGGGUUGAGUAGGAGGCAGCUCCUGCCCAGGGAGAGCCGCGAUGUCCUGGAGGGUGCCCCCUUGUGGUGGCUUUUGGGAUGGCACCCUUCCCCACUGGGAUAAAAUAGAAUCUAUUAUGGAAUGGUCAGCACCAGGAUGAUGGGUGUGUGUAUAAUUUAAAACAGCCUCCAGGUGGUUCUAAGAAUCUUCUUUCAUCAGGGGAGGCAGAAUUCCCUUAUACAACCUUUUGGCAUGUUUGCUACAUGUUUGCAACCUUUUGGCAUAUUGCCUUGAAAUUGAACAUUUGAACUCUUUUUCUCUUAAAACAUAACUGCUAAACUUUCAAAAAUUAUCCUGGGAUUCUAAGCUUGUUGCACAGGGAAAAUACGUUGUUAUGUGAGGAAAACUAAUCAAAGUUCUCUACCUUUCCUGGUCAGCAGCAUGUGUUUCCAAAAAAUUUAAGAGAAAUUAGCGGGUUAAUUGAGAACAUUCUACAUCUCACCAUGUUUGCUCUUAUCAUAAUUCACCAUUGCUGAUUUUUCUGCCUACAGAGUUGCUGAACCCGGCUUGAUUUUCCCAUAGAACUGAAGCCUGAGGAACUUACAUUUGUUUUGUCUGAGUUUCUUUCUCAGGAAACCAACCAUCAGGCCUCCCAGAUAGUAUCAGGGAACUGAAACUUUUCAGAUGAUGGCAUCCAGUCAUGAGAUGCACCUGCUGCCUGUUGACCAAUUCCUCUUCUUUACCUCUCCCUAACCCCCUGCUAUAUAAACCCCUAACUUUAGUUAGUUAGGGAGACAGAUUUGAGACUGGUCUCCCAUGUCCCAGCUGACAUCACCUGCAUUAAAGCCUUUCUUCCCCAGCAAUACUCAUCGUCUCAGUGAUUGGCUUUCUCUACAGUGACAACUGGACCUGGCUGGAACCCCUGUCAUCUGGCAACAUUAUUACCUGUCAAAACAGAAGUAGAGAUUUGAAAUAGAGGAUGCCAGUUCCCAUUUCCUCCUGCUGUCUGGAAGGAAGUCUGGCUUUCCAGCCCAACUCUAAGCUCAUCUUUACAUACAAAAUAAGCAUAUGUUUACAUGGAAAGCAAAAAUAGAACCAUGGAUUUACAGAAGGUUCCAUAGCAGCAAAUAACAGUGCUUAUGAAAUAAACAUUUUAAGUAUUA